AUACGGAGGGUGCAAGCGUUGUUCGGAAUUAUUGGGCGUAAAGCGGAUGUAGGCGGUUUGUUAAGUCGGAUGUGAAAUCCCUGGGCUCAACCCAGGAACUGCAUUCGAUACUGGCAAACUAGAGUCUCGGAGGGGGUGGCGGAAUUCCCGGUGUAGAGGUGAAAUUCGUAGAUAUCGGGAGGAACACCAGUGGCGAAGGCGGCCACCUGGACGAUGACUGACGCUCAGAUCCGAAAGCGUGGGGAGCAAACAGGAUUAGAAACCCCAGUAGUCC
rnacentral:rRNA from 1 species